GGAUAAUAAAUUAUAUGGUCACCCUAUCCAUUGUACUACCCAGCUCUUUCCCCAUCCCAUUACUCUUGACAUUAACUAUGCUAUGGUACUAUAAAUCAGAUGUAGGGAAGGUUGGGAAUAGGGCAAGCUUGACUGAAGUGUUUGUGGUUAAAGGACUUUGCUCAGGAUCCUGUCCUUACUGGUUGCGUUUAAGUAUCCCUUCCACCCCAAAGACUAUACCUCUUGUCCUCCACUCAGAGAGAAAGCUUAAUACAUAAUGUCACAUUUCUCUGGUAUAGAUACCUAGGUUUCUCUGUCACUGAGUGCUCUACCCACAGAAGUGCAGUUGCACUUAAACUGAUGUUAGAAAGAAAUCAUAUUUCCUAAACCUAAUGCUGUUUAAGUGAAACACAUAGUUUUCUUACAGUAAAUUUCUUACAGUAAAAAUUCAGAUUUUGUAUUGUUGGUGUAUCUUUUUUUGUUGUUUUGAAUAGAUUUCCCUUCAUAUUUAUUUUUUUUCUUUUUAUGUAGUUGGAAAUGUUUUUCCUAGGACAUCUUGUCCUCAGUCAAGUACCAGUGUUAAUAGCCUAGUACCUGGGGUCCCAGAGUUGAUGCCAUGUUGAGACCAGUUGAGUUUACUAUUCCAAAUGACUGAGAGCCAGAAUAUGAUGUAGGGUCUUGCCAGGAGGGCAAGGUGGGAACUAUAGACUUAGGCAUUGGAUUGCCACGUCCUUUUCCUUUUGCUGUUCAAAUGCUUAGCAGACUUAAAUGCUUAGGAGCCUUUGUAGAAGAAGAAAUAUAACUGAGUCAGUUCAGGUUUUCCUCCCUUCAGGGAGGGAAAUCCUGUUUAAGAAUUAUGGCUUGAGGGGGAAGAGAAUUUAGUGUCAUUUUCAGGGCGGCUGAUUUUUUUUUUUUUUUUUUUUUUUUUUUUGAACAGUAUUGGGGAAAGUUCUGGGACUGGUCUAAUGGCUCUGAGUGGACCCUGAGUCUUCCCCAUUUUCAGUCAUGAUGUGCUGCCUGAGCCACAUCCUCCACAAUAGGUUUGAUCCUCUGCAGAGGAAGCAAGCCGAUAUCCUAGGCAUCCAUCACAUCCCCUAACCCUGCUCUGUUACUGGCACUGGGCUGUGGCCUCCAAUCCCUUUCCUCGUCUCCUUUCAUCAUACUUUCCCUUCAUGCCACAUAAAUGUAGGGUGGGGUUGCAUCAUAUGCAUGUUUGGCCUGGGCAAAUCCAAACAUAUAUUCAGUCAAAAUCUGUGUGCAUUUCUCAAAAUUAAAAAUGUUAGGAUUAUAUUUUAUAGAUAAGCAUAUUCUAUUUUUCCACAGUGAUGUUUUAUCCAUUAUAUGUAACAUUGAUCAGGGAGGUCUGCACAAAAAAAAAAAAAACAUGCUUUAAGAGAGUUUUAGGGGAUACUCAAGAGUGAUUUUGACUAGAUUCAGUUUUCGUCUUGGGCUCUAACUUUAGAAGUAACCCCUGAGUAAGAUGUCAUUCCACUGUAAUGAGAUUUCUUAAAAUUCCAAACCUACGUAUUAGUAUGAGUGAAUACAGGAUGUUCCUUCUGCAUGGUGAGGAUAUAGAACAUGUGUACCAGAUUAUGGGCUCUGCUUCUGGUGUGGGUAGUAGGUGGAGGGUAGCCAGGAGGGCUUGGGGUGGGUCGUCACCUCACAAUUUUGAGAUGGGGUUUUAUUUUGCAGAUUCAUGCAUUGAUCACAGGCCCAUUUGACACUCCUUAUGAAGGGGGUUUCUUCCUGUUCGUGUUUCGGUGUCCGCCCGACUAUCCCAUCCACCCACCUCGGGUCAAACUGAUGACAACGGGCAAUAACACAGUGAGGUUUAACCCCAACUUCUACCGCAAUGGGAAAGUCUGCUUGAGUAUUCUAGGUACAUGGACUGGACCUGCCUGGAGCCCAGCCCAGAGCAUCUCGUCCGUGCUCAUCUCUAUCCAGUCCCUGAUGACUGAGAACCCCUAUCACAAUGAGCCCGGCUUUGAACAGGAGAGACAUCCAGGAGACAGCAAAAACUAUAAUGAAUGUAUCCGGCACGAGACCAUCAGAGUUGCAGUCUGUGACAUGAUGGAAGGAAAGUGUCCCUGUCCUGAACCCCUACGAGGGGUGAUGGAGAAGUCCUUUCUGGAGUAUUAUGACUUCUAUGAGGUGGCCUGCAAAGAUCGCCUGCACCUUCAAGGCCAAACUAUGCAGGACCCUUUUGGAGAGAAGCGGGGCCACUUUGACUACCAGUCCCUCUUGAUGCGCCUGGGACUGAUACGUCAGAAAGUGCUGGAGAGGCUCCAUAAUGAGAAUGCAGAAAUGGACUCUGAUAGCAGCUCAUCUGGGACAGAGACAGACCUUCAUGGGAGCCUGAGGGUUUAGACCCUGCUCCCAUCUCCCCUUUCCCCCACUCAAGAGUCCCAGCAGAAUCCCUUCCCCCCACCCCAGGGAUGGAGAGGCACUGUGUAUCUCCCUCCAGACUCGAAGUCAUCCUGCAAGAUGGCAAGAACCAAGCAAGCUCGGAUCCCAAGGUGUGGGAGUGGGGGGCCUGUUCCCGGUCUGACCUCCUUGGCACUGGAGCAUCUGGGGCUGCAUUCAUCCAUUCAUCCCAUAUCAGGGGCCAAGGUACCUUUACAGGAGCACCUAGAGCGAGGGCCUCUGGCAAAAACAAAACAACCAACACACCUCUCCACAGGGCCAGCUCCUUAGGGAUAAGUGGAAGACGGAAAUUGCAAUUCCAAGACGGUGUGUGCCCAAAUGAUUUAUGGGGAUACCUGGAAGGGAGCUUGGGGUGGGGGCUGUCUGUGACACUUAAGCAGUCUGGGUGGUUGUCUAUUUGUCUGUCUUCAGUCUUGAAGCAGGGCUUCCCAAUGCCCUUUUCCUCCCUGCCUUCCUUCCCCCAUUAUUUCCCACAGGCCAGCAUAAUUUUGUUUUUCCUAAUUUAUAGUCACUGUUCUAGACAGACCAAAGAGAAGGAACAGUGGUGGAGUCUAGGCUGCUGAUCAGUAAGCUUUACCUAGCACCUGAGCACCUUUCUCCCCUCCCCCCUUUCCUCACCCUUUUCUAGAUGUAAGACAGAAGGUAAAUGUGACUGGGACUUAACCAAGGUCUUGGUAAAGCCUGCAUGGCACCGUAAGAAGCUGAAAAUACUGUUUGUUCCCGCAAUCACUGAUUUGAAAAGUUCCCGGCACAGGCAACUGCUGUGUAUAUGGGAUUAGAGCCACUACAUAGAAUAGUCUCUUACAGAUUUUCAUAAAUACUAGUCACAAUGAGGGUAUUUCUCUUGGGGGUGGAGUAAGGGGGAGACUGAUGCUAGUCCUUGUUGUAUUUUGUUGGGCUGUCCUUGUGUAUUUUCACCCCAGCCUGUAGUCCUCCUCACUUCAACCCCAGGGAUUUGUGGGGAGCAAGGGUAGCCAAUGGCAGAGGGGGUUGGGGCUGGGACUCUGGAGGCUCCUCCCCUUCUUUCUCCUCCUCCCGCCUCCCCCGUGCCCCCAGCUGCUCUUGUCACUGGCUCUGAUGGGUAUUUGCCUGGCUGUGUUGCUUCUCUAUCUGUAUUUAGCUGCAGUGAUCCUUUAGCUGGUUGGCUCAGAAAAAAAAUGUGCUUUAGGUGCCGUGUAAUCCUGGGCAUCAAGGGAAUCCAUCCUUCCCCUUUUUGAUAUGUUCUCCCCGUACUUCCAGAUUUAUUGUUAUGGCUCCCAGUGGGUAUUGGUGAUUCUUGUGAUGCAGGGCCUCAGUGAGUGUCCAGCCAUGCAUAAGGGAGAGGAUAGUGUGUACCUGCCCUGCCCGCUGCUAUGAAGGUCUCUGCCUUGUGGAUCAUGGGACUCCCCUUGGAGGAUCUGUGCAAAGAGGGGCUGGGCACAAAGGAGAAUGUCCUAUUUGGGAGGGCAGGAAGCAAAGGAACUGGACAGGGAUUGGUGGGCUUGGGGAACGGAAGUUUAUUUUGGAUACCCUUGAAGAGGCUGGGUCUCUUCACAUGAAGAUUGAGAAGGGACCCUGCUUCCAAUUUCCCUCUUCCAUUCCUCGAGCUACUCCAGGGCUUAGAAGAAUGCCCUUGGUCUGUGGGUCCAGUGUUGUCUGUCAUCCAUUUAAGUGUUCCCACUUUCAAGUGACAAUCCUCUCCUUGGCCCUACCAUAGGGCAGAGCAUGUCUGGCAUAGCAGCCUGACUUUUAUGCCCUAAUCUUGAGUUGAGGAAAUAUAUGCACAGGAGUCAAAGAGAUGUCUUUAUAUCUGACUGUACAUAAAUGAAGUUUUUUUGUUUUUUUUUUUUUUUCCUUUUUGGUGCAAUAAAGUUUGUUUUGGCAG
rnacentral:sRNA from 1 species